rnacentral:lncRNA from 8 species
CAGGAGCUGAGUACUGGCACCUCACAUGUUUUACUACUGGAGCUCAUGUUCCUCUUAUGGAUUAUAAGCUCAAAAGUAUUGUGGAGCUCCUGCACCUAAAUAUAAACAGUAUCGGCACCUGUUCUAGUCCAAGUCAAGCACUGGAAGAGAUUCAUAAAAUGGGGUAAGGGGUGACUUUUGAUGUGUGCUUGUUUUUUCAGAAUGCACUAAAAUGACUGAAAUGACUGAAUCAGCAUGGAAGUAAAACUGUCGUUUCCCGAGACAUCCCAGGAACUGUUUUUCAAACUGAAACCACACCUUUGGUAAUCAUCAAUUUAAGACCAGGUGUGUCUGGCUUGCACUUUUAAUCAGUUUGUUGUGAGGCAAGUCAAGUUGAUCUAUUGUUCUGGUGGCAUCAGCACACUGCUUUGAGUUUAGGUAUGGCAGCAACACAAUUUGAAAAUGGACCACAUGUGACAGCAAGGCACAUUGGGCCACACCAGCCAGUUCCUCAGCCCAACCCUGGCACAUGGCACCCAGUGUGUGGACCUGAAGGAUCAGGGCCCCAUCUGACCGAUCAUCAGCCCCAUCCUCAUGUGCACCAGUCUCGACCCUACUUCUAUGUGCAGCCCCCUCCUCCUCUCCCCUUUUACCACUACCAGUGGCCCAUGCCCUACAACCCCUGCUCUGGAAUUCCAGGUUACGGUAUGCCGGGAAUGGUUAUGCCACCUUUCCUUCCCCACCCAUACAUGGAGGUUCCAGGUUAUGUUCUUCCUCAUUCCCAGCUGCACCCUGCAGAAUACAGACGAUACCAAUUCCCUCCUGCUGCCAUGGCCUACCAGAACAACAGCAGGAUGUCCAGAAUGUUUUACCACAAUGCCACACCCAUAGAGAUGGUUAACUCUGAAGUACAGACUGAACCACCACCUGAAGCGGUGAAGGACGGUCCCCCCUUGGCUAGACCACUGGCUAGGUCAGACUUUGGAAGAGGCACCAACUCUACCACCCCGUCAUCUCUAAGCUCCAAUGCAGAGAAACAGAGCUGCCCAGAAGAAGAACCUAAUUCGCCCAUUGCCUCCAAAACUGGAUUCCAGGGGAUGGUGAGGAGCCAGGGUACUGGCAAAGACCCACCUGCAGGAACAAAGACCAUUCACUCACGUAGCAUCUCUAUAGAGUGGAUGACACAGAAUGGACUGAUGGCGCCAGAAGAUGUGGCACAAGAGUUGUCUGAAAAAGUGUCAGAUGAUCAUCCUAAUCAAAGCCAGAUGUCCUUUUAUAGUCAGGGACCGAAAAAGUUGAAUGAGUCCGUAUGGUCAGUGCAGUCUUUGGCCCCGUAUGUCCCCUCCAAAGAGUUUCUUAUGGAAAACGGCAUUGUGUUGACUGAGAAAGAAGCAGAUCCUCCCAACGUCAGUCAAGACCUCGCAGCCAGUCAGGUCAUAGCUAUAACAGAGAGGAGGAGAAGUCUGAGGUUUUCGCUGACUUUAGAAAAUGUGAAAGAGGCUGAGAAAAUGGCUGAUGUGAAUACUUCUUCAUGCCAAGAGUCCUUCCAUUAUAGCCAAAUACAGCAAAAGGCUAAUGUGUCUGAUUGGUCAGUGCAGUCUUUGGCGCCGUAUGUCCCCUCCACAGAGUGGCUGAUACAGAAUGGGCUUUUGGAUCAUGAAGUGUCGACUGCGAAAGUAUCAGAUGCGAAUGUCAGUCGAGGCCACACAGCUAGUCAGCUGUUGGCUAUAACCGAGAUAAGUCAAAGGUUGUCCCUGUCAUCGAUAGACACACUUCCCCCUUAUGUUCCCUCUUCCUGUUUGCUGGCCGACAUGGAAAAAAUGUACUACAGAAAGCUCCAACUAGGCACUGCAGAGCAUAAGCAAGUUUUCAGCACACCAAUGGAUAAAUUCAUUCCAUCAAAGAGGCUGAACUCUGAAGCUCUUCCCAGGAGGAAAAGGCAGCUCAAACUUAGCCACAACCUACACAUGGAGCUUGUGGAAAAAGCCAAUGUGUAUGGUUCUCCUACAAACCAAAGUGCAAUGAUCCCAAGUGUUGAAGGACCAUUGAAUAGCACUCAAGGGUCAGUGAAACCCAAGGCUCAACAUAGCCCAAAAAAGAAGGCUCUGGAAGUUACAGAGCCCAGGGUUCUGAGCCCUCCCUGCUCUCCAGAUGACCCUGAAACAUAUUCCUCCAAAUGCCUAGCAGGAGACAAAGUGCCUGGCUGCAGUUGUACAGGUCGCUGCAACCAGGAAAUGGAGGCGGCGGUGAUGGAACCUGCCAAACAGACUGUGCCUAUUGUACCCAGUCGACAGGACUGCGAGCAGAUUGCAGAUGUUAGGAUGCCAACGGCUCCCUCAUCAAAUGGACACUUUAAGACGUGUGGUCUGAUGUGUUCAAAGCUACAGGAGAGGAACUGCUCCUGUGAGGCACCGAAGCCAAACGGAGUGAGUUUCAGGAAGCGCCCCACAGGCAGACUGAAUAAGAGAAAUGUGGCCAAGAUGGCCGCCGAUCUCACCAAGCCUCAGGCGCAGCAGCAUCUCAUUCCACAGAAUCAGAAAAGACAGAUGGAUUCCAGGAGAGCAAACAAGACCAUGCCUGAUCAUGUAACUUGUGAUAAUGGAUAUGGGCUGAACAACUCAAAGAAACGGGGACGAUGGCAAAAUAGACCACAGGAGAAUUUGGCAGUACUUCCGACUGGCCUCACAACCGCAGACCAAGCGUACCCAUGCCACCCCACGACCUCCACAUUCGGCCUCUUCACCUGCGGGAUUGUCUGAGACCAGCCACGUGGACAGCUGAUGAAACUGAGGAUUAUUUCU